rnacentral:misc_RNA from 1 species
AAGUCGUAACAAGGUUUCCGUAGGUGAACCUGCGGAAGGAUCAUUAUCAUAACGUAUCCACGUAUAAACUAACUUUAAUUGAUGUGAAACGUAACUGUUUAACACCUUCGAUAGUUAAUUGAUUGCUAUACUCUACUUUGUGUUUGAUUAAAGCAUAUUGAGUAUGGACUUGGCUUCACUUUCGGGUGAAGACUAGCAUUAACUGUUGGAGUGUAAUUAACCUUUUAAUCAUUUAUUUACCCAUUGAACCGAUUAACUAUUAUUAAUAGUUUUUCAUUCUAAUUCUAUUGUGUGAACUGAAUUGUCUCUUACUCGAGCUGUCAAAGGCGAGAGAAGUGAUCUAUAUUUACGAAACAUUAUAAAUUUCUAUGAACAACUCUUAGCAACGGAUAUCUUGGUUCUCGUAACGAUGAAAAACGCAGC